rnacentral:rRNA from 1 species
UACAACAUAGUGUUAAUGCACCGGAUCCCAUUAGAACUUCGUAGUUAAGUGCACUCAGGCUAGAGUAGUAUUGAGAUGGGUGACCACCGGGGAAGUCCUAGUGUUUUAC